UAUCAAAUAGGUUUGGACACAUGUCAUUCU
rnacentral:piRNA from 1 species